rnacentral:sRNA from 1 species
ACACGAGCCUCCCUUGCGAGCUAUCCCUGCAAGAAUUGAGUUCCUCACCCUCAAUUCGAGUGAAUUCCUAGCACAAACACGCCUCUUGCAGGUCCCCAGGGCUUCAGCUUGGGAAAGCAGUGGGUCCCUGCAGAGGAGUGGGGCCAGCUGCUGUGCCAGACACUGCAAAACACACCUGGCUUCUCUCCGACAGCCCCGCGGGUCGAGAGGACUGGCGCUGCCUGUGUCUUACUGAAAUUUAUUUUCGUGUAACCAUUUACUUUUAUGUGGAAAUUGAUAAGCUUUUGAUAAUAGUAGCAAAGCAGGAAGGACUGAGUGGGAACUACAGGCCAGUUGAAAGAAAAUACAUGACGUACUUGAGUGCUCAGGACCACGAGUUGACUCAAGUUGUACAUGGUGGACGCUUCCAGUAGCAUGACGUACUUGAGUGCUCAGGACCACGAGCUGACUCAAGUUGUACAGAAUGGACACUUACAGAUGUGUGGAAAAUCUGAGACAGGAAAUGAAGCCUCACCCGGACUGCCAAAAAGAGCAAGAUCCUGUCCAAGGAAGAACAGAAGGUGGUUGCGUUUCAUGAGUCGGGCCACGCCUUGGUGGGCUGGAUGCUGGAGCACACAGAGGCCGUGAUGAAGGUCUCCAUAGCCCCUCGGACAAACGCCGCCCUGGGCUUUGCUCAGAUGCUCCCCAGAGACCAGCACCUCUUCACCAAGGAGCAGCUGUUUGAGCGGAUGUGCAUGGCCCUGGGGGGACGGGC